GACGAACGCUGGCGGCGUGCUUAACACAUGCAAGUCGAACGGUGAAAGCGGAGCUUGCUCCGCUGGAUCAGUGGCGAACGGGUGAGUAACACGUGGGCAACCUGCCCCUGACUUCGGGAUAACUCCUCGAAAGAGGUGCUAAUACCGGAUACGAAUCCUGCAGGCAUCUGCGGGAUGGGAAAGUUUUUCGGUCAGGGAUUGGCCCGCGGCCUAUCAGCUUGUUGGUGAGGUAGUGGCUCACCAAGGAGCCGACGGGUAGCCGGCCUGCGAGGGCGACCGGCCACACUGGGACUGAGACACGGCCCAGACUCCUACGGGAGGCAGCAGUGGGGAAUAUUGCGCAAUGGUCGAAAGCCUGACGCAGCGACGCCGCGUGGGGGAUGACGGCCUUCGGGUUGUAAACCUCUUUCAGCAGGGAAGAAGCGAAAGUGACGGUACCUGCAGAAGAGGCACCGGCUAACUACGUGCCAGCCGCCGCGGUAA
rnacentral:rRNA from 1 species